AGUCCCUCACCCUGACUUCUGGAGAGGGAGAGGGAUGGAGAUUGAAUUCAAUCACCAAUGGCCAAUGAUUUAAUCAACCAUGCCUGUGUCAUGGAACACAGGAAACCUAAACAACAUAAAAAUCCUUAACAACAGGGUUUGGUGAGCUUCUGGAUUGGUGAACACAUUGAGGUGGUAGAAGGCUAGAGUUCAGGAGAUGACAUGGGAAGACAUGGAAGCUUUGUGUCCCUUCCCAUAUACCUUGCUCUCUGCAUCUCUUCCAUUUGGCUCCUCCUGAGUUCGUGCCUCUCAACAUCCAGCAGAAUGUGGGAAUGUUUCAUGGCAUGAUAUGGCUCAAUCCACAGACAAAGGCUGCUGAGCCCAGAACAGCUUAUUGGACGAGCCCCUAUGAGAAGCAGAAAUGUAUAGAAGCAAACUGAACCCAAGGAAAGAUUGGUGAUACUUUGGGAGGGAUGACAGAGGAAGGGGAAACACACUGUCCAUCCCUGUCCCAGCAAGGAGCCAGCUCCCAUUCGGCAGUCCCUCUGAACAUCUAGGUAGCUUCCCCCUUCUUUCUGUCCAGUUGUGAGCAGCCACCAACUAUGAUGCCCCUCUUCCAGCAGGCUUUGCUUUCACAUCACAAAGCAUCAUCCUGAGAAACAAUUACAGUUCUUUUUAGAGUUCUGGUUCCUUCAUAGGUACCUAUUGUCCUAAUAAAUGGAAUUCCUUGGAACAC
rnacentral:lncRNA from 10 species